rnacentral:rRNA from 1 species
CCUACGGGGGGCAGCAGUGGGGGAUAUUGCACAAUGGGGGGAACCCUGAUGCAGCGACGCCGCGUGGGUGAAGAAGCGCCUCGGCGCGUAAAGCCCUGUCAGCAGGGAGGAAAAUGACGGUACCUGAAGCAGAAGCCCCGGCUAACUACGUGCCAGCAGCCGCGGGAAUACGUAGGGGGCACGCGUUAGCCGGAUUUACUGGGUGUAAAGGGGGCGCAGACGGCGAUGCAAGCCAGGAGUGAAAGCCCGGGGCCCAACCCCGGGACUGCUCUUGGAACUGCGUGGCUGGAGUGCAGGAGGGGGAGGUGGAAUUCCUGGUGUAGCGGUGAAAUGCGUAGAUAUCAGGAGGAACACCGGGGGCGAAGGCGGCCUGCUGGACCGCGACUGACGUUGAGGCUCGAAAGCGUGGGGAGCGAACAGGAUUAGAUACCCCUGUAGUC